GAUGAACGCUGGCGGCGUGCUUAACACAUGCAAGUCGAACGGUAAGGCCCCUUCGGGGGUACACGAGUGGCGAACGGGUGAGUAACACGUGGGCAAUCUGCCCCUCACCCCGGGAUAACUCGGGGAAACCCGAGCUAAUACCGGAUACUUCGUCGAGGUCGCAUGGCCAUGACGAGAAAGCUCCGACGGUGAGGGAUGAGCCCGCGGCCCAUUAGCUUGUUGGUGAGGUAACGGCUCACCAAGGCGACGAUGGGUAGCCGAGCUGAGAGGCUGAUCGGCCACACUGGGACUGAGACACGGCCCAGACUCCUACGGGAGGCAGCAGUGGGGAAUCUUGCGCAAUGGGCGAAAGCCUGACGCAGCAACGCCGCGUGCGGGAUGAAGGCUCUCGGGUCGUAAACCGCUUUCAGCAGGGAUGAAACUGACAGUACCUGCAGAAGAAGCCCCGGCUAAAUACGCGCCAGCCGCCGCCGUAAGAC
rnacentral:rRNA from 1 species